rnacentral:lncRNA from 1 species
GGUGGGGCUAUGUCCCUUCUGGAGGCUCAAGGGAUGAAUCAGGUCCCUGCGUUUUCUAGCUUCUAGGGGCUCCAGCUUCUGGGUUUGUGGCCUCCUUCCUCCAUCCUCAAAGCCAGCAACAGCAGGUGAAGUCCUCGCCCAUCGUGCAUCACUCUCCCUUCUGCCUCCUUCAACUUUUUUUUUUAUAUUUAGGGGGAACGAGUAUAGGAUUCUUACAUAGUCAAAAAGCUCCUUAUAGAGAAGCUCAGAACUUUCAAUACAGCUUUGCCUUUUUUGCCAUUUUAAUUUUCCGUUUAAUUUAAAUGUAUUCUCUCAUUUGACCUUCAUACUCUGUGGAGAAAUAUUCCUGUUUUGGCUUGUAUUGACAAGUUGUUUUCACACAGCCCCCACAUCACCCAACCAACCAGCAGAGAUCCUCCUUCCCAAGAAACAGAUAAAGAAACUGAGGCCCAGGAAGGCUAAGAGUCCUGCCAGGAUUAUUCACCUUUCAAGCCAAGCAAGCACUGGCUGUGAGAGAUGGCUGUGAGAGAAGAUUAAAACAAUUACAACUCACCCAGUUCACAGAUGCUGAGUAACUGAUCUCCUGCCCCACUAACCUUAACGACAGCUUUCUCUGGACAAGGGACUGAUUUCAGUAACUUUCUCCUGAUAAGAGACCAUCCUCCAUGGACUGGUUCUGGCCAGUUUUAGAGGCUGUGCCUUUACGAGGCUGAGUACCUUCAUGUCCCUGCUUCACUUUUUGAUGUGUAGGGCCUAAUUAUAAUACAUUUAAAUGUCAAGUCUCCACCCCAGAAUGAACAUGCAUGUUUAUUGAAUAUGCAUGUGUUAGGACCUCUUUUAUGAGUAUUCUCAUAAAAUGAUAUAGCUCCUCUGAUAUCCUAUUGAGUAUGUAUAUGUAGCCAACUCAUUUGGCUCAAAUUCCUGUCCUCUCCCUCCCUCCCUGGAAAUGCCUGCCUCUGGCCUUGGCUGUAGGCCACACUUCCCAGCCUGUCAUAAUGGCCACCUUGCAGGCUGCAAACCUUUAUAAGAAAUAAAGCUCUCUUUUCUAAAUUUAUAAAAUUGUGUGAUUUUUCAGUUGAUCCUCUCUUUCUACACACACACACACACACACACACACACAUGCAAUUUAUACAGAAGGAAAUCUGGAGAAUAUAUGUGGGAAUGGAUAUUAAGUGUGUGGCACCAUGGUG